GGUGACGAGUGUGCUCAUUAGAGAUUGUAAACAUGUAUUUGAAGGUUUGAAUUCAAUUGUAGAUGUGGGAGGCGGAACAGGAACUUUGUCCAAGAAUAUUGCUGAUGCAUUUCCAAACUUGAAAUGCACUGUGCUUGAUCUCCCACAUGUUGUUGCCGGCUUGGAAGGGACUAAGAACCUGAGCUAUCUUGGGGGUGACAUGUUUGAGUCAAUUCCUUCUGCAGAUGCAAUCUUACUCAAGGUAUUACAAUGUCUUCCUCUUUUCCUUGCCCUUUUCAUGUGAUAUUGAUUUUGAAAUUCAUAUUACAAAACCUUCUUUUAUCAAACGAGUCACUAGAUCGCUCUAUCAUUUUCAUUAUUCAUAAUAACAGAAGUAUUCAGGGUCACCCUUAACAUUUUUAAUUGAACUCGAGGUUCAAUUUAGAUUUUCACUUCAGUUUGAUGGUUAACUAGAAUGAAUGAAGUGACCAAUUUUAGCAUGGAUGCCUUUGAACUUGUAAUCCUAAACCGUACUAACACUAUGCAUGUGUUGCAUUAAUUGUUCAUCAUUGUUGAAAUUUGAAGCAUCUCAAUAAUGUUCUACCUACCAUCUCAAUAAUUAAUUCAAUGAGAUGUUGAUUAGAUAAGGAAAAAUGUGAAGGCAUGACACACAUGCACAAGUACAUCAAUAAGUUGCUGUCAUAUAUAAAAGUUUUACUAUAAGCAAUGACCUAAAACAGGGUCAUCAAAAGUGAUUUGAAUGUAAAAAAUAAUAAAAUAAUUUUUACAAGAAAAUUAAACUACUGCUCUUUUGAUUUUGUUAAAAAUAAGAAUUAGUAUCAAAUAAUUACAUAAGGAUAACGAUGAAGUAAGGUAUGACACUCACAAUCACAUUAAAAAUUGGGUUGUCAGAAGUAUUACUAUAAACAAUGACCUAAAAUGUGGUCAUCGAAAGUAACUUUUACAAGUAAAUUAAACUAUUCUUCUGCUUGAUUUUGUUAAACAUAUAUUUUAGUGUAGCUUGAUAGAAGAUGAUAAAUGUAUAAUUGAUAAAUUGACAAAAAAAUUAUGGAUCUUAUAAAAUGUAAAAUAGAAAUAAACUUAUAGAGAAAAAUAAAUUUUAAAAAUGAGGAUCAAAUAUUAUUUAAUCAAGAAAUAGAAGUAAAUGAUUCGAGAAAGAUUCCACAACCAUGUUACUAUUCUAUUGCUUGAUUCUAAUUUUGCACAUUGACUCAUAACAUUUCAUUUCUUUUUCACCAUACAUCUCCCAAAAAAAAAAAAAAAAAAAAUGAAAAUUCACUUUUCGCAAAACACAUUCUCAAAAAAUCUCCACCUAUUAUAGCUAAUCUUGGGGUGCCAUAUUUCAUAUCCAGUCCCUAUUUUAUUUAGUUAAAUAAGAUGAUUAAAUCUAAAUUAAAGUCAACAAUUAAUUUUAACAACAUAUUUUAUAGAAUUUACAACUUUUCAACCGUUAUAUAUUUCAUUAACUUUUAUUAAAAUCUACUAAAUAUAUGAUUUUUAUCUAAUUCAAAUAGGGGCUCAAUUUCUUAGAAAACAAUGUACUAGUCUUGUUCAAUCUUUGGAGUCGUUUUGUCUAUUAUUUAUUACAUGAACUCAGAUUCUAAUGCUUAUAGUACUGGUACAUUUGAAUAGUGGAUAUUGCAUGAUUGGAGCGAUGAAGAGUGUGUAAAAAUAUUGAAAACAUGCAAAGAAGCUAUUCAAAGCACGGAUAAAGAAGGAAAAAUCAUCAUUAUUGACAUGAUCAUAGACAACCAGAAAGAAGACAACAAGGCAAUCGAAACACAACUCCACUUCGAUAUGUUGAUGAUGGCCCUUCUUACUGGGAGAGAACGAAAUGAGAAAGAAUUCGCAACAAUCUUCUAUGAUGCUGGCUUUACUCGCUACAAAAUAAUCCCUAUAUUGGGAUUGAGGUCUGUUAUUGAGGUUUAUCCUUAAUUAGCUCAUUAUGUCGAAUAAAAGCUGCUUCUGAGCAAAAUUUCGUCUUCAAUUUGUGCUAUUUCUGUAUUCAUCCACAACGAUAUUUUGUAUCUGUGCUAUCAUUCUAUUUUUGUAAUAAAUUACACAAAAUGUUUCGUCUUUGGUAAUAUAGAGAAUAAAGAUUCUUUCUUAUUCAUUAGGUCCGAUCUUAUUUAUUUUGUAAACUCUGGUACAACCACUAGCAAUAUAAGUAUUAAAUGAACAUCACAAGAAGCAUUACUCUUGUCUAUGUUAAAGGAUAAAAUUUCAUAUCGAAUAAAGAUGAAAAUAUAAAAAAAUUUAUAAAGAAUUGAGUUGCUCAUCUUAACAAGGUCGACCUUUAAAGAUGGAACCCGAAAUCUUAAUAUGGUAUCAGAGCCUAUUAAUCUCCAACGAGCGAUUUGAUCCGAUUAAGACUUAAUAAAUGAGCAUACAGAUUCCGAGAUUGGUCUGUUCAAAGGAGCUACCAUCUUGCGGGAGCAUGUUAAGGGAUAAAAUCUCACAUCGAAUAAAGAUGAAAACAUAGACCAAUUUAUAAAGAUGUUAAGGGAUAAAAUCUCACAUCGAAUAAAGAUGAAAAUAUAGACCAAUUUAUAAAGAAUUUGAUUACUUCUCUUAAUGAGAUCGGUCUUUUAAGAUGGAACUUUAAGUUUUAACAGUAUAUAGAUCAAUAUGUCAUACUUACACAUAGCCAGAUUCCACAUGCAUGUAGCAAAUUAAUUUUAACGUAUAAUAUUGAAACUCGUGAUAACUUUGUAUAUGAUCGCUCUUUGCGUAGGUGGUGUGCUAAUUUUUAAUAUGGUGAAUCAAAUGAAUAACACGUAUACUCAUUUGACAAAAGAAUUCAAACUAUCGUUCAUUUUAAGACCAAAUAAUGAAAUAUAUAAGAAAUAAUCUAGUAAACACUGGCUAACAUCAGAAUAUUAAUUUAUAUGUGAAUAAGAUUAUGAUGAGUCAUAUUAUUUGAAUUAAAUUUUUUAUUUAUCAAGGAUUGAUGUAUCAUGUCAUAACUCAUACAUACUCUAAUAGUUAAUUGUUGAAAAAAUAGGAUUUAAUUCUUUGUGUAUUUACAAGAAUAACAUAAUUUUGUUGGAAUAAUAAACAUAUAGAUGUUUUCAGAAUUAUCCUUGAAAGAUGCUUUGCAAAAGAUUAUUUUACAUUUUCUUCUUGAUUCCACCUUUAAGAUUCGGUGUUCUUAGAGAACCAAUAACUAUUCUGGUUCACGUGCAUGUGUGGGCACAAACAAAAUUAAAAUUGAACCUCAAUAUAUGUGUCAAUUUAUAAUAUGGAUAUAAAAGGACUCUUGCUUCUAGUUCUAAUCCAAGUCAACUUCUUUUCACGUGUGAUUGAUCCAUGUGCUACACGUAACACGUCUCCGUCCAAAUAAUUAAUUUCACUGCAAUGAAUAAUAAAUUAAAACGUUUAUAGUUUAUUUUUAUUCCUUUUUGAAGCCAUCGAAGGGAUUUGGACCCUAUAAACUAAGUUUCAAUAAAAUAAUCUUGAUUCAAUUAACUAUUGAUCAAUGAUUAAUCGAGAUAAAUUCUACAUACUUUUGCCCUAUAGGCUGUUUUGCACUCCACGGAUCUUCUGAAAGUUAUUUGGGUCAAACUAAUAAUGGCUUUUGGGCUUGGUACCCAAUCUUUUGCUUUCUUAUGAAAUUCCUUGAGCUAUUGGAUGUCACGGCUAGUUUGCUUUAAAUUCAAGAAAUGUUGGUAUGCCAUAUCAUUUUAUAUGUAUAUCAUGUUAAUAAGAAUAUGCACGUUUUUCUUAUUGGGUGUUUUUCGAAAAAUACUUAGUCUUACUAAAUUUUCAUAUUAGAACGGAUUGUGUGAACGUGUGGGAGAUUGACCGAGUGAUACUUAUGGGGUCGCCAACUAAAAGUUUUAGAAAUGAUUACUGUCAAUUUCUAUUUCAGGAAUAAUUUUAUUUUAUGUUCAAUUCCGUGCAUGUUAUUUUAGUAGUUUUGAUAUUUAAGUUAAUUAACAUGUUAAAUUGGUAAUUUAAUUCGUAAUAUCUUAAGCUAGAUAAAAUUCAAAUUUUUAUUUUGAAUUGUUGAAUUCACAUUAUUGAUUUAUCGAUCAAAUACCAAAAUUUAUACAUUAGUGUUAAAUUUUGCUUUAACUAUAAAAGAAAGAUUUUGAAAACACUUCAAAUCCUAAAAAAAUCGACGAAUUUAUUUUGAUUCAUCGCUAUUCAUAUAUGAUGCAAUAUAUCAUGUGCAAGUGUUGUGAACACCUUUUUAUGUUCUUUUUUUAAUUCUGUCUUUUUCUUCAUAAUGACAUAAUUCUUUGAGUAUCUCAUUUUUCAACAUAUCAGUUACCUGAACCUCUUUUAGGAUUUUAUAAUUUGUUAAAUAUAUAUAUUUUCUAAAAGUAUAUGCUUCAUAAAUGAACCAUCUUUACUAAUUACUUCAUUUUCGCUUGGAGAUUUUUGUAUUAGAAUCAUAUAUCAUCACCCUUCAAGUGUGCUAUAAACAUAUCAAAUAUAAUAUUUAUUAAUUGUCUCCCAGGACGUUAAUUCAAUUUGAAGCAAUUAAAAUUGGUGUGUGAGAUAUUAUAGAUCUCUCAGGUCAUUAAAUGUAUCUAAAUAAAUUAUCUUUCGAAUUUCUAGUUCGAAUUAUCUUUUACGAGAAUUUAUAUAAUGAUGUAUUUGUGCAUUUUUUUCAGCUUCUUAAUUUCUUUUUUCGAUGCUGAGAGGAAUGUUCAAUCAAAUUUCUCUUUUUAAUAAGAUUGAUCUAUUAAAGUGAAAAUCCAAAAUCUUAAUACAUACAAAACAGGGACACCCCAUGUUCAGUUGAGGCUCCACAUUAAGAUCAAACACGACAAGAAUCUCAAGUGGAUCACGUUCUAGAUCGGCACAAUUGCAUUGCUUUUCAAUUAUGAAGAUAAUUAUGAGCAUCGGUUUCCUGUUGAACCGUUCGCGGCCAAACCCACCAUAGGGCCGCGGGGGUGGGGGGUGGGCGUGAGGGCAUUAGAACGGGUAUAUAUAGCAAGCCAAUGCCCAAGUACUUCUACGAAAUUCAAGCAAAAUGGAGAACAAUCUACAGAGCUUCUGCAUGCUCAAGCUCACAUUUGGAACCAAAUUUUCAACUUCAUAAACUCCAUGUCUCUCAAGUGUGCGAUUCAACUAGGCAUACCAGAUAUUAUCCAUAAACAUGGCAAACCAAUGACACUGCCCGAACUAGUCGAUGCCCUCCCCAUCGACAAAGCAAAAUCUCAAUGUGUCUCCUGCCUAAUGCGAAUUUUAACCCAUUCAAGGUUCUUCAUUGAUGCCAAAAUCUCCGAGAACGAAGAAAAUAUGGGAUAUUGGCUUACAUCAGCUUCUCGUCUCCUCUUAAAAGACGAGCCACUGAGCGUGACACCAUUUUUACUGGCCAUGCUUGAUCCGAUUUUGACAGAGCCAUGGCAUCAUCUGAGUGAGUGGUUUGAAAGUGAUCAGAAUCCUACGGCAUUUGAUACUAAACAUGGGAGGAUGUUCUGGGAGUAUGCUGGGCAUGAGCCAAGGUUGAACAGCUUCUUCAACGAAGCCAUGGCUAGUGAUGCCCGGUUGGUGACUAGCGUGCUCAUUAGAGAUUGUAAACAUGUAUUUGAAGGUUUGAAUUCAAUUGUAGAUGUGGGAGGUGGAACAGGAACUUUGUCCAAGAAUAUUGCUGAUGCAUUUCCAAACUUGAAAUGCACUGUGCUUGAUCUCCCACAUGUUGUUGCCGGCUUGGAAGGGACUAAGAACCUGAGCUAUCUUGGGGGUGACAUGUUUGAGUCGAUUCCUUCUGCAGAUGCAAUCUUACUCAAGGUAUUACUACGUCUUCCUCUUUUCCUUGCCCUUUUCAUGUGAUAUUGAUUUUGAAAUUCAUAUUACAAAACCUUCUUUUAUCAAACGAGUCACCAGAUCGCUCUAUCCUUUUCAUUAUUCAUAAUAACAGAAGUAUUCAGUGUCACCCUUAAUAUUUUUAAUUGAACUCGAGGUUCAAGUUAGAUUUCCACUUCAGUUUGAUGGUUAACUAGAAUGAAGUGACCAAUUUUAGCGUGGAUGCCUUUGAACUUGUAUUCCUAAACUGUACUAACCCUACGCAUGUGUUGCAUUAAUUUUUCCUCAUUGUUGAAAUUUGAAGUAUCUCAAUAAUGUUCUACCUACCAUCACAAUAAUUGAUUCAAUGAGAUGUUUGAUUAGAUAAGGAAAAAUGUGAAGGCAUGACACACAUGCACAAGUACAUCAAUAAGUUGCUGUCAUACAUAAAAGUAUUACUAUAAACAAUGAGGGUCACCAAAAGUGAUUUGAAUGUAAAAAAUAAUAUAAUAACUUUUACAAGAAAAUUAAACUACUGCUCUUUUGAUUUUGUUAAAAAUAAGAAUUUAGUAUCAAAUAAUUAGAUAAGGAUAACGAUGAAGUAAGGUAUGACACACUCAAUCACAUUAAAAAUUGGGUUGUCAAAAGUAUUACUAUAAACAAUGAUC
rnacentral:lncRNA from 1 species